UGGCUCAGAACGAACGCUGGCGGCGUGCCUAACACAUGCAAGUCGCACGAGAAAGCGGGAGCAAUCUCGCAAGUACAGUGGCGUACGGGUGAGUAACACGUGGAUCAUCUGCCCUGGAGUGGGGAAUAACGCUGGGAAACCGGCGCUAAUACCGCAUAAGCUCGAGAGAGGAAAGGUGCAAAUCGCCGAGAGAGGAGCCCGCGGCCGAUUAGCCAGUUGGUGAUUUUUAAGCUCACCAAAGCAAAAAUCNNUAGCCGGCCUGAGAGGGGCACACGGCCACACU
rnacentral:rRNA from 1 species